UACAGAGGUCCCAAGCGUUGUUCGGAUUCACUGGGCGUAAAGGGUGCGUAGGCGGUCGGGUAAGUCUGGCGUGAAAUCUCCAAGCCUAACUUGGAAACUGCGUUGGAUACUAUCCGGCUCGAGGAAUGGAGGGGAGACUGGAAUACUUGGUGUAGCAGUGAAAUGCGUAGAUAUCAAGUGGAACACCAGUGGCGGAGGCGAGUCUCUGGACAUUUCCUGACGCUGAGGCACGAAAGCCAGGGGAGCAAACAGG
rnacentral:rRNA from 1 species